rnacentral:rRNA from 1 species
AUUGAACGCUGGCGGCAGGCCUAACACAUGCAAGUCGAGCGAGCGGCGGACGGGUGAGUAAUGUAUGGGGAUGUGCCCGAGCGAGGGGGAUGACUACUGGAAACGGUGGCUAAUAACGCAUACUGACGGAUGAGCCAAUAUGGGAUUAGCUAGUAGGUGGGGUAAAGUCUCAGCUAGGGGACGAUCUGUAGCUGGUCUGAGAGGAUGAUCAGCCACACUGGGACUGAGACACGGCCCAGACUCCUACGGGAGGCAGCAGUGGGGAAUAUUGCACAAUGGGCGCAAGCCUGAUGCAGCCAUGCCGCGUGUAUGAAGAAGGCCUUAGGGUUGUAAAGUACUUUCAGCGGGGAGGCGUUACCCGCAGAAGAAGCACCGGCUAACUCCGUGCCAGCAGCCGCGGUAAUUC